ensembl:lncRNA
UCCGGUGCAGUUGGGGCCACCAACCUUGCUAACUGAAGCGGAAACUCUUGACUUGUUAUCUUACAUUAACGGAAGCCCCCAGCAUCCUGGGAAGUUAUGGGGCUUACAGGUUAACUCUAGCCCUUACAUUGUCACUAAAAGUGUACUGUACCAUACACCUCCUCUGCUUCACGUUCCACAAAAGGUGUGAAGAUAUGGGACUGCUUCAGAGCAGCAGACUAUGAUUGGCUUCCUGAUCUAGCAGAGAGGCAUGGCUUUGCCAGAUGCAGAUAGUUUUCUGUGAUUGUUUGACGUUUGGAAUUCUGGGAACUUCAGAGGGCCCCGACAGACAUGAUGGUGUACAGACAUGCAAAGAAGACCAACAGACAAAGGAGGGGUACUUAGGACCCAUGGUAGAAAAAGCAAGCAGGACACAACACAGCAGCCUGAAGACUCAAACUCCUUAAAAUUCCCUCCAAAUACUAUUAAACACACUACCUUUAAGACUCAUUUUCUACAAAAUGGACUGAUGAACCAGAACACUUGAAUUCUGCCGUGAGCUUUGGGAUGAGCUGAAAUUUAAAGAGAGAGGGAAUGCGUGUCCUUCUAAUACUGGGAAAGAAGAGUAUAAAAGGGCAACAGAUAGCAGUUGAUUGGUUGAUGUCCAUCAGCGGGAUGAAGAAAGAAAAAUCUCAGAUGGUUGCAAAAAAUCUAUACAGGAAUAUUCAUCACAGUAUGACCAGGCAAAUCUGUAUCUUCUCUUCUAUCCAGAGUGAAAACAUCUACUGUUCCCCGUGGAAUCUAAUACACAGCGAGAUCUAAUGAAACCAUUGUUUCAGAAUGAGAUCCCCUCACAUCUCUCUCUCAUCUAUCAUCUAUCUACCCACAAUGGAUCUAUGUAUUCACAAUAUGCACAUAUAUUAAAUGAAGCCCAUCAUAUAUAGUGGAUAAUAUAUAUGUGCUAUAUCUUAUACAUAUAUAAUAGAAUAUAUGAAAUAAUGUGACAUAUGCACAACAGCUGCUAAGGAAUGAAUGAGAGAAUGAAUCCUUAUUCCUAACAGGAAUAUUUAAACCAGAUGAUUCAUCUCUUGGCAAGUCUUCUGCUCCUUUAAAGCCUAAUGCCGUGACCCUUUAAUACAGUUCCUAAUGUUGUGGAGACCCCCCAACCAUAAAUUAUUCUCAUUGCUAUUCAUAACUGUAAUUUUGUCACUGUUAUGAAUUGCAAUGUAUACAUCUGUAUACGUCUUAGAUGACCCCUGUGAAGAGGUCAUUCGACUCCCAAAGGGGUUGUGACCUGCAUUUUGAGAAAUGCUGUUCUAGAUUGUGACGAAACACAACCACAUACCUUUACCUGAAUAAUUUUAUAGAAACAUAUACAAGUUUUUGUAUUAUAAAUAUCCAUAAUGUACAAAAUGUAAUUUGGAAACAUGUAUCAGAAGUUGGUUCCUGCCUCUGGGAGAGGCAGGUAGCGGCUGUAGCAACUUGAGAAAGACUGACACUUCCUGUCUUUCUUUACGUAGUUGGAAAUUUUGGAUUGGGUACAUUUUCAUCACCGAAUGACAUACACAUAGAAAAGUAUAUCACCUAACAAGAUUGUAAGUGUAUAUGCUUUUUGAUUCAAAUAUUUCUCUCCCGAGAAUAAUAUCCUGCAAAC